UUUCUGGGGUGGAGAUAACUUGCCAGAACUGUAAGGCCAGGCCGGAGCUAGGAUUUGAACCCAAGAAGGGGGAGCCGCUGUGCUGAGGAGCUCUGCGCCCUGGGAGGAGGGGCCACCUCGCGCACAGCCAGGGCCAACUUCAGGGACAGGGGCCCAUGGCAGCACUCAGUGGCCACACUCAGAAGGACCCCAGGCUGUGUCUGGAAGAUCAGUGUUGGACAAUGGGCCCCACAUUUUCAUUCUCCACCAUGUGCUGAAGGUGUCACAGCAGGGCCCACCACAGGCACCUGCUCGUUUGGCCUCUCGGUCACUUGUUACCCCUAAAUAGUGCUGAAGGUCGCAGGCCUCUGCGGUUCCCAUGCGUCCACCCAGAUGGUCGGCAGGAUCCCCGAGGCAGGGGCCUCACCCAGGCUGGUCAGCCCCCCCCAACCUGGGCCCCUGCACCCCUGUCCUCCUGGGCGGUGGGCGCUCGGAGCACACUUCCUGGACCCCGUCUAAGGGCUGCACCCUGGGAGGAAAUCCUUGCACCUCAGAGCAGGAGCCCUUGUCCCCGGCACCCCCUCAGGGACAAUCGACUCCUCCAUCAAGUGGACAUUACAGGUGACGGCCCGAGUGGGGGUGGGGGGGUGACCUCCAGUUGGCAUUUCUCAUCCUCGAUCCCAGGCUCCGGGACUGGCUGAUGUGCCCAAGCGAGGUGAAUGGCCUCUGGGGCAGGCCCUGUUCUGGGAAUGGGCUGUGUCCUGGCCAGCAGGGAGGCCAGGGCCAGAGGUAGCUGGACCUCUUCAGGGUCCACCUGGGUCCACCAAGCUCUCCCCAGGCGGGGACACUAUUGCCAGUUACCAGACAUUUCAAGGUGGCCUGAGAAGGUACCUGGGAAGGAUGGCACGGGGCUGGUCCCUGCACCUGUGUCCACCCCGCUGGUCCAGCUGCCUUCCUCCCACCUAGCUCACCCUGGAGACCUCCCCUCCUGGCUGGCAGAGCUUGCCGCAGCGAGUGUCCUCGGGCCUUGGGGCAGCUGCUCUGCAUCAGCCCUGAGCAGCCUGCCCGAUCCGCCCUGCGCCAGCCUCACCCUCUUCUCUGACCCCUGGCUCAGGGGUCCCAGCGCGGCCUCCCGGGAGCUCGUCCGCUGCUUGUUCCCUUCCCUGACGCGGCCUCUCCCUCCAGGGAACAGUGAGUUGGGCCGCUGCUCUCAGAAGGGGCUAUUUCCUUGUUGCUGAGACACUUCGCUCCCGACCUGCCCCUGAUCCUGUCGGGUGCCUGGGCUCUGCGCCCCUGGCCCGGGCUCCCAGACAGCAGGCCGGACCCCCCCCCCUGCCUCCGGCUUUCUCCUUCCUUCUUCUCCGCUGCGAUCGGUUAUUAACAGCCACGCUGGGGGGCACGUGCCGCUGCCGUGGCCAGCUCCGAGCUUCCAAGGUGGGCUUCGGGGCUCUCUCAGGCCAUCUCCUGGGGGGACACUUGUACUUUCUUCCCCACCACCCACUCCCCCCGACCACAGCGGCAGGGUAAGCCCAUCUGAAUGCUGACCUCCCUGGUCACCAUCCCACAGGACACGUGUCCCACCUUGGGCCACAAACCCUUCAGGUGAAGGUAGUGGUUUUCUGCUGGACGUGGACCCAGAGGCACAUGGGGCUGAGUCAGGGCAGCUCGGGACCCUGAGGCAGAGCCUGCCCGGGUGGGAGCAGGUCCCUGGAGGCAGGGUUUUCUCCUGUGUCCCUGGAGGCCGGGUUUGUGUGCUCUCCUCCUUCUCUCCCAGCAGAAGAGGCUACCCAGGACCCCUCAGGAGCAGUAGCCAGGGGAGGCCCCUCCGUGAGUAAGCCGGCUCACUGGUAUGGUUCACUGGCCAAGCAGAGCCUUCCGCCGGACACAGCGCCCUACCUGGCUGGGCUCCCCCCGGGUCCAGACACAGAGGCCCUCACAGGGGAGACGGCCCCCUGAUGUCUGGAACAUUCUGCCUCAAGAAAGACUGACCACACCUUCCUUCUUGUGUUUCUGCCCUCUCCACCCUCGGGCCUCCUCGGGCCUCCUCGGGCCAGUUAUCCUGGGGCUCACUGUACUCGAGCCCUGACCACGCGCUCUGCUGUCCCUGCCCAGGAAAACCUACCCGAGCCCUGGUUUUCAGGAGAUUCCUGUCAGCCUCCUCUGGAGUCCAUACACAGCAGUCCUGCUUGAUGCUGACCAGCCCGCCAGGCCCUGGCAGGGGCUGAGCUGCGCACAGGUAACCGUGUCUCGAGGGAGGGCUCGAGAGGUCCCCAGGAUGCGCCAGGGGUCAGUCCAUGAGGAGUGAGUGAGACAGGUGAGGGACCUGACCACCAAGACGGAGGAGCUGUAUGGUGGGACUCUGCUGGGGACACGAAGGCCUCGGACCCCGGACCCCGGGGGGCUGAAGGGCCAGGGCCUGGGCUCCUGCUGAGGACCACAGCCAUUGCUGAGGUUUGAAUGUUCACAUGUUGGAACCCGAAUCCCCACCUUCACGGGUCAGUGGUGUUCGAAGAUGGCCUUUGGGAGGUAACUGGGGUGGAUGAGGUCCCGAGGUGGCCCAGGGAGGUAUUAGCGGCUUUAUGAGAGGACAAGAGGCCUGAGCUGGCACUGCUUGCUCCACCUUGUCCCGUGGGAGGCCACAUCAGGUGCCGGGCCCUGCUCUUGGACCUCGCAGCUCCAGGACCCUGAGCCAAACACACUUCUCUUCUUUGUAAAGCACCCGAUCUCGAGAAAGCCCGAGACACCACUGCCCGCAGGAAGGGUCUUAUUGUUGAAAUGGAGAGACCAUCCCAGAAAGAAGGCGCGUGCAGGGUCCUGGCCUGCAAUCCCAGCCAACAACCCAAACAAUGCUGCUCUGACUGUGCCGCAGGCCCCCCCCGGGCUGAAGGAAGGUGGUCGCUUCCGGGAUGCCCUGGGUCUCAACCAUCUGCAAAGUGAAGGCUGCUCUGUGUGGCUUUGAGGUGGCCCAGGGACACAGAGUCACCACCUUCACAGGCCUGAGUUAUCAGGCUCACCGGAGCAGCUUAGGUGUCAGAAAGGACUCCCAGGAUGAUCUGCAGGUGACCCGCCAGGGGCUUGGGGGAUGGGGCAACACAGGAGUCGUGAUUUUAGAUGGACGCUCCCGAGGCCCUGUGUUAGCUAGGAGGUCCCGUGGUUAAGCCUCAGGGAGGGAUGAACAGCUUUCAUUUAUUUAUUUAUUGGUAUUGGAAAUUGAACCCAGAGGCAUUUAACCCCGGAGUCACAUCCCCAGCUCUUUUUAUUUUUUUUAUUUUGAGACAGGGUCUCACUAAAUUGCUGAGGCUGGCUUUGAACCUGCAAUCCUCCUGCCUCAGCCUCUGAGUCGCUGGGAUCACAGGCGUGCACCACCAUGUUGGUUUAGAAUGAAUAUCUUAAAUUUAUGAGUUAAUUAACACAGCUGUGAGUGAAAGUGAAUAUUCAUACGUUAAUAUUAAAAUUGGAUUUAUAAAAAGAG